rnacentral:rRNA from 1 species
CAAUGGGGGAACCCUGAUGCAGCGACGCCGCGUGAGCGAAGAAGUAUUUCGGUAUGUAAAGCUCUAUCAGCAGGGNAAGAUAAUGACGGUACCUGACUAAGAAGCCCCGGCUAACUACGUGCCAGCAGCCGCGGUAAUACGUAGGGGGCAAGCGUUAUCCGGAUUUACUGGGUGUAAAGGGAGCGUAGACGGCAAGGCAAGUCUGAUGUGAAAACCCAGGGCUUAACCCUGGGACUGCAUUGGAAACUGUCUGGCUCGAGUGCCGGAGAGGUAAGCGGAAUUCCUAGUGUAGCGGUGAAAUGCGUAGAUAUUAGGAAGAACACCAGUGGCGAAGGCGGCUUACUGGACGGUAACUGACGUUGAGGCUCGAAAGCGUGGGGAGCAAACAGGAUUAGAUACCCUGGUAGUCCAAGGGCGAAUUC